CGCACAUUGCGCCCCUUGGUAUUCCGAAGGGCACGUUCGUUCGAGCGUCAUAAAAAACCAUCAAGCCUAGCUUGGCAGUGGACGUUUUUCGUCUUCGGAACCCCCGGAGACGCGUCCUAAAAACCUAAAGCGGUGGCGUCGAGCCUCGAGUGUAGUAGAAUUAAAACCCGCUCUGGAAGGCCUCGCGCGUCGCCCGCUGCGAAAACCCCCCAUCAUCAAAGGUUGACCUCGAAUCGAAUGAGAAUUACCCGCUGAACUUAA
rnacentral:misc_RNA from 1 species